rnacentral:rRNA from 1 species
AUUGAACGCUGGCGGCAGGCCUAACACAUGCAAGUCGAACGAGUGGCGGACGGGUGAGUAAUGUCUGGGAAACUGCCUGAUGGAGGGGGAUAACUACUGGAAACGGUAGCUAAUACCGCAUACCAUCGGAUGUGCCCAGAUGGGAUUAGCCAGUAGGUGGGGUAAAGGCUCACCUAGGCCACGAUCCCUAGCUGGUCUGAGAGGGUGACCAGCCACAAUGGAACUGAGAAACGGUCCCGAAUCCUAAGGGAGGCAGCAGGGGGGAAUUUUGCACAAGUGGCGAAAGCCUGAUGGAGGCAUGCCGCGGGGAUGAAGAAGGCCCUCGGGUUGUAAAGUACUUUCAGCGGGGAGGCGUUACCCGCAGAAGAAGCACCGGCUAACUCCGUGCCAGCAGCCGCGGUAAUUC